rnacentral:rRNA from 1 species
AUGCACGCUGGCGGCGCGCCUAACACAUGCCAGUCGCACGAUUAAAGCACCUUCGGGUGUGUAUAAAGUGGCGAACGGCUGAGUAACACGUGGGCAACCUGCCCCUUUCAUUGGGAUAGCCACGGGAAACCGUGGAUAAUACCGAAUACUUCGAGACUUCCGCAUGGAAGACUCGAGAAAGCUCCGGCGGAGAGGGAUGGGCCCGCGGCCUGUUAGCUUGUUGGUGGGGUAACGGCCUACCAAGGCAAUGAUGGGUAGCUGGGUUGAGAGACCGACCAGCCAGAUUGGGACUGAGACACGGCCCAGACUCCUACGGGAGGCAGCAGUGGGGAAUCUUGCACAAUGGGCGAAAGCCUGAUGCAGCGACGCCGCGUGCGGGAUGAAGGCCUUCGGGUUGUAAACCGCUUUCAGCAGGGACGAGGCGAAAGUGACGGUACCUGCAGAAGAAGCCCCGGCUAACUACGUG